rnacentral:rRNA from 1 species
GAUGAACGCUAGCUACAGGCUUAACACAUGCAAGUCGAGGGGAAACGGCAUUUAGUGCUUGCACUGAAUGGACGUCGACCGGCGCACGGGUGAGUAACGCGUAUCCAACCUACCCAUUACUGUGGGAUAACCUGUCGAAAGGCAGACUAAUACCGCAUAGUCUUCGAUGACGGCAUCAGAUUUGAAGUAAAGAUUUAUCGGUAAUGGAUGGGGAUGCGUCUGAUUAGCUUGUUGGCGGGGUAACGGCCCACCAAGGCAACGAUCAGUAGGGGUUCUGAGAGGAAGGUCCCCCACAUUUGAGCUGAGACACGGUCCAAACUCCUACGGGAGGCAGCAGUGAGGAAUAUUGGCCAAUGGGCGCGAGCCGGAACCAGCCAAGUAGCGUGCAGGAUGACGGCCCUAUGGGUUGUAAACUGCUUUUGUAUGGGGAUAAAGUCAAUCACGUGUGAUUGUUUGCAGGUACCAUACGAAUAAGGACCGGCUAAUUCCGUGU